rnacentral:rRNA from 1 species
UACGUAGGGUGCGAGCGUUAAUCGGAAUUACUGGGCGUAAAGCGUGCGCAGGCGGUCUGUUAAGACCGAUGUGAAAUCCCCGGGCUUAACCUGGGAACUGCAUUGGUGACUGGCAGGCUUUGAGUGUGGCAGAGGGAGGUAGAAUUCCACGUGUAGCGGUGAAAUGCGUAGAUAUCAGGAGGAAUACCUAUGGCGAAAGCAGGUAUCUGGGCCACAACUGACGCUGAGCUGCGAAAGCUAGGGGAGCAAACAGG